rnacentral:misc_RNA from 1 species
CAAAAAAAAAAAAAAUCGUCCUGUAUUGACUCGUGUACACUAAAAUAAAUUUUUGAGUGCUUUCGUGCAACCAUUUUCAAAGGAUGCCAAACUCAAAAUCUCCGGAUAAUUUUCUUAGAGAUACUGUGUUGGUAAGGAGGAGCGAAGAGCAAAGAGAUAUCUAUAUUAAGCCCAGAACACAGAAGAAGACGAUAAAACAGAUGAAUUAGUGUAGAUAGAUUGUAUUUUUCUUCUAUUGAAGCUCUUUAGUUGUGUGACAUUGUAAUUCUAUAGCUUGCAAGUCAUUUUUCUUUCUGUUCUUGUUCUCUUUGUCUCUGUCUUUCAAGAGGGACAAAAGCUCAGGAUAUUGCGAAAAGG